CUUGGUGGUUAUAGCAUGAGUGAAACAC
rnacentral:rRNA from 1 species